rnacentral:rRNA from 1 species
UGAGGAAUAUUGGUCAAUGGGCGAGAGCCUGAACCAGCCAAGUAGCGUGCAGGAUGACGGCCCUAUGGGUUGUAAACUGCUUUUAUGUGGGGAUAAAGUGCGUGACGUGUCAUGCAUUGCAGGUACCACAUGAAUAAGGACCGGCUAAUUCCGUGCCAGCAGCCGCGGUAAUACGGAAGGUCCGGGCGUUAUCCGGAUUUAUUGGGUUUAAAGGGAGCGUAGGCUGUCUAUUAAGCGUGUUGUGAAAUUUACCGGCUCAACCGGUGGCUUGCAGCGCGAACUGGUCGACUUGAGUAUGCAGGAAGUCGGCGGAAUUCAUGGUGUAGCGGUGAAAUGCUUAGAUAUCAUGACGAACUCCGAUUGCGCAGGCAGCUUACUGUAGCAUAACUGACGCUGAUGCUCGAAAGUGCGGGUAUCAAACAGG